rnacentral:tRNA from 1 species
AAAUAAGAAGCGAAAUAUUGCAUUCAGUUUCGACCUGAAAUUUGGUAAAACCAUAUAUCCUUAUUUA